rnacentral:sRNA from 1 species
UCCCAGAAGGCUGGCAGCAUUUUCACGC